AUGGUCGCCCCUGCUCCUCCUCCCCUUAAUGUCGAAUCCGGUCGUGGAACUGGCCGUCGGAGGCGUGGGACUCGCACACCCCUGCUCUUCCCUGCUCCUUCAUCGAAUCCGGUCGCCGAAGUGACCGAGGCGGUGCUCGAGCUCGGCAUGCUCGCCCGGACGCCGAGGCUCCUCCCUCCUCCUGAUUUAGUAAACAUCGCCGCCGCCGCCAUGAGCCUCUCCACCCUCUCCCGCGCUCGUCCCAGUUCCAGGUUACUCUAUCUCUCCGACCCCGCCGCCUGCUCCUCCCCGUCAAUUCGGUUCAUCAACAGGUGCAUCACCUCACUCCGUGCAAUGUUCGGACCCCUAGGGUUAUCUGCUCGGGGGCCAUGGCGUGUUCCACGCGGUGCUGCCUUCGCCGCCGCCGCCGAUCGGCGGUGA
rnacentral:rRNA from 1 species